rnacentral:piRNA from 1 species
UGGUCUUUCUCUACUCACCCUGGUAGCCA